GGGUUGGUAGCUCAAUGGUAGAGCAUCUGGCUUUUAACCAGGUGGUUCCGGGUUCGAGUCCCGGCCAACCCACCA
rnacentral:tRNA from 1 species